AAAGUUACGCCCAAAACGAUGCUGGAUAAUGCACUCUAUAUAAGUUUAAAAAAAUUAUAAAAAUAUGUUCUCUCUUCUAUUUAGAAAAAAGGCUUUUUUUUUUCUCUCAAACACCCACUUGGCCGGCGAGUCGGUGAGUCUCCGACGUUGCCAUAGGCUAUUGGCGACGGAGACGUCGCCUCCGGUGGUUGAAGUUCCCAAAAGUUUCCUCUGAGCCUUUUCACUCGUAGAACGCGAAUCUGGGGUUAAUUCCCAGAAAUCCGGUCAAAGCUCAAUAAAAGGCCUUGAAAUUUUUUCAGUUUCUCUUUUUCCAAACAACGCCUUUCGAGUUAGAGGGGAUCGUCCUUCAUCGGGGAUAGAGUGCUUGGCCAUGACGGCGGUGGAAUAUGAAGGGUCGUUAGGUACUUUUGUGGUGUUGGCAAGGAGACUUUCAGUCAAUGUCGGUGAGAGUGGCGCCACUUGCCAUUUUGGUGAAAUGGUGGCAGAGUGCAGUCUUAGGGGGUGGGUAACCUCGGGUGGGGGCUAUUAGGCUUUGGGUUAAUGGGCUUUGGUUUUUUAAUUAAUUUUUAAAUGGAUUUUAUUUUUGGGCCAGACAAACUUGGGCCUUUACAGUGUAUAUUGUCAAUUACGUAGAAUAAUUCCUUCUCAAAAAGACAAAAAAAGGAAACUUGUUUAUUUUUCACGUGUAAUUUUAGAUAAGAUGGGAUCAUAUCUUACCAAA